ACGUAGGGGGCGAGCGUUGUCCGGAUUUAUUGGGCGUAAAGAGCUCGUAGGCGGCUUGGCAAGUCGGGUGUGUAACCUCCAGGCUCAACCUGGAGACGCCACUCGAUACUGCCAUGGCUAGAGUCCGGUAGGGGACCACGGAAUUCCUGGUGUAGCGGUGAAAUGCGCAGAUAUCAGGAGGAACACCGGUGGCGAAGGCGGGUCUCUGGGCCUUACCUGACGCUGAGGAGCGAAAGCAUGGGUAGCCAACAGGA
rnacentral:rRNA from 1 species